CUGAGAUUGGUGGGUAAAUGGUCAGGUCAGAGAGCCGUUAGACAGCCUACGCAAGAGCACAUUUGAGGGAAGUCAAACAUUUCCUGCUUAUAAAGACUCGUCUUGCUGCUGGAGAGAUGCCAGGGCACGUGUCUGGGUUGCACCUCCUUACAUCUUGAAUAGAUGUCAGAUUGGCACAACACAUGGGGUCUUCAAUCGCCCCAGCGUGGUGUACUGAGAUCUUUUUCGGAGCCCUUCCUGCUGUUGUCAAGCCAUCUCGGCCCUGUCUGUCAUAUCAUAUCAGCACGCCACUCCCACCCCGUUUAAAAUACCGCUUUGGCUCAUGUUAAUCCAGAAGUCAGUUCCUCUAGAAACAUCUGUUUCCUUUCAGAGGGAGGAGAGACAAAUAGGCCCAUUGUCACCCCUGUAUCUGUACUCAUAUCGAGUCCUUUUGCUUUUCGGACAGGUUGGAAUUAUCGAGGGAGGGUGAAAGGCAAAUAGCCCUAUAGCUCAAUCACCAUUGUUUGGAAUCAGUCAGUGGUAAUAUUAGUGUUGCCCAGAACACAAUUACUCAAUAGCGGCGUCUUUAGCGUCGUCUUGAAUUUAUCCUCUUGACAGAUCCGGAGACUGAUAAUUUAAUGCAAGUUAUGAUUAAAAUCCCCUUACUGUCAAGCCCUUUGGAACAAAUAACAAAUACCUCUGUUUGGAAAAAUGACAGUUUUAAAAAUAAAUAAAAUUACACGUUA